GAUGAACGCUAGCGGCAGGCUUAAUACAUGCAAGUCGAGGGGCAGCAUGAGUGUAGCAAUACAUUUGAUGGCGACCGGCAAACGGGUGCGGAACACGUACACAACCUUCCUAUAAGUGGGGAAUAGCCCAGAGAAAUUUGGAUUAAUACCCCGUAACAUAAUGAUGUGGCAUCACAUUAUUAUUAUAGCUUCGGCGCUUAUUGAUGGGUGUGCGGCUGAUUAGAUAGUUGGCGGGGUAACGGCCCACCAAGGCUACGAUCAGUAGCUGAUGUGAGAGCAUGAUCAGCAACACGGGCACUGAGACACGGGCCCGACUCCUACGGGAGGCAGCAGUAAGGAAUAUUGGUCAAUGGACGCAAGUCUGAACCAGCCAGGCCGCGUGAAGGAUUAAGGUCCUCUGGAUUGUAAACUUCUUUUAUCUGGGACGAAAAAAGGCGAUUCUUCGUCACUUGACGGUACCAGAUGAAUAAGCACCGGCUAACUCCGUGCCAGCCGCCGCCGUAAGAC
rnacentral:rRNA from 1 species